UCAGAAACAGAAAGUCAAAUACCAUAUAUUCUCACUUACAAGUGGAACUAAACACUGGGUAUACUUGGAUGUACAGAAGGAAGCCACAGACACUGGGGACUCCAAAAGUGGGGAGGUUGAAAGCGGGGUGAGGAUUGAAAAAUUACCUGUUGAGUAUAAUGUUCACUAUUCAGGUGAUGGGCACACUAAAAGCCGAAACCUCACCAGUAUGCAGUAUAUUCAUGUAACAAACAUGCACAUGUACCGUCUGAAUCUAUUUUUUAAAAAAUGUGUGUGUGAUUUUGUGUAUGUAAAAGGCAAGGAAGAUGAUGUUCAUAGAAGCAUUCAAACAUUUGGUAUGGUGCAUGUCAAUGUAUAGUAGCGCCAAACACCUAAUUUUCUGAGAAUCCAUUCUGCAUCAGGCCAUGGGCUGAGUGCUAGGAUGCUGAGAUGAGACGACUUCCGUGCACUAAGGUGAGGAAAGAAGAGAACUGAGUCAUCAGUGUGGAGAAGACGCAUGUGAGGAUGAAGAGGAAUAGUUGAGAAGUUGUGUCAUUUUUUUUCCGUUAGCAAUGACACGUUUUCUCCUCUGAUGGACUUGAAAGUGCUCCCUCUUGCCGGUUGCCCCCCUCCCCCGCCCGCCCCACCCUCCAGCGAUGAACUGCUGAACUUACAGAAACCCUUGCAGAGUGCCCUGGGCUUCGUGAUCUUGAGAAGCAGCCAAAACUGGAACAGCAAAAACCGUCAACGCUGGAGUAGAACAAAGGCCGGUAUUAUGCGUCCUAAACUUAGUGGGCUCUUACAUUGUUAGGAUGACACAGAAAGCACUUGUGCUCAGAAAAGAAACUGAUCUAAAAAGGAGGAAAUAUCCUUCCCUCCUUCCCUCUCCCCCAUUGCGUGCAGCCUUUGCUGUAUGGAAUUGUUCUUGGUGCAUCAGCAGUUUCUGCUGCUUCUCCUAUUUUAUUCUUACCAUCNNNNNNNNNNNNNNNN
rnacentral:lncRNA from 1 species